ACAUUUGCCUGUGUUUUGGGUCACAGACUGGUGGAGCAGUGAUUCAAUCUGGCCUACUGCUUAAAAUUCAUUGUCAACUUGUUUAAAUGUGGAGAACUCUCGUUUUUGAAAAAUUGGAGCCCUGGCUUCCUUUGUGGAAGUCAGAAGGGCUUCCGAUACCUCCCCGCUCGGGGAAGUUGGUCAGGUGGUUUCCAGCGACAGUGACAGUGACUCGGAUCUUAGCUCCUCCAGCCUAGAGGACGGACUCCCACCCACUGGGGUCAGGGACCGGAAAGGUGACAAACCCUGGAGGGGGUCAGGUGGCAGCGUGGAGGCCCCCAGGAUGGGGUUCACCCACCCGCUGGGCCACCUCUCCGGGAGCCAGAGCAGCCUGGCUGGUGAGACGGGGACGGGCUCCGCCGACCCGCGGUGGGGACCCUGCCCUGUGCUGACCCGAAGGGCCCCGGUAAAAGACACACCUGGACGAGCCCCCGCUGCUGACGCAGCUCCAGCAGGCCCCUCCAGCUGCCUGGGCUGAGGUGUCUGCUGCCUGGAACAGACUUCCCUGUGGAGGAUUCCUGCCAGA
rnacentral:sRNA from 1 species